CCAAAACAGAAGUCUUUUUUUUUUUUUUUUUUUUUUUUUUUUUUUUUUUAAAAAAANUUUUUUUUUUUUUUUUUUUUUUUUUUGUUUUUUACAAUAACCCUGUAAAACUGUAAUAGCAUAAGCUUGCUUUUAACAGUAGUAGACGAAUACACACCAGUCACGGAGUUGCUUGACUACCUGCUUGAAUUGCGUCUCCCGUUUCCGUCCCUAACCUCUUCAGGAAACAUCCUCCGGUGAGACGUACGGUAAGUCUGUUAUCGCGCUCCAUGACUCCGUGCGUUUUUAUUCGUAUUACUUGUGCCCUAUUUAUCUAUAAUGUUUUUGCUAUGUUUUCUCGUUGUUUGUCAAAUGUUUAUUAGGGUUUAUCGGAUUCAAAUAAUUCAUUGUUCAUUGACUUAUUUUGGUUAGGAGUUAUUGAUUUAAUCGCUAUUUGUACGAAAUUUAACGAGGAUAUCAACUGGUCAUUAGCAAAUUUCCCAUCUUAUCAUACUUUUUUGGGGAUAGGGGAAUGCAGUUGAUAGGGUUCAUAACUAGGUUAGGAGCAAACUGAUUCGAUAUUUGUGAUAUUGGUUGUUACCUAUGUAUUUUGUUGUUGUGAAAAACCUAGAUUUCUAAUUCCUUUGAGAACCACGAUUGCUAUAAACGUUAGGUGUAUUAGAUAAGGAUGGGAUUUUAGUUUGCGCUUGAAUAUAAGUGGUAAACCGCAGAAACAUAAUUGUCCUCUUAAGUCACAUACAGAAUUGGCUCACUUGAAUUUUUGUUUCUGGUUGUAAGGAGAUUAGAGGAAAAAGCUAUCAAGCAAACAACCCCAAACUUUAGGUGAGGAAUAGGAAGCAGGAAGUAGAUGGAACAAGCAAACUGGGGAUGGGUUUGGAAAAAAGUAAUGGUGAAAAAAGAUAUUAUAAAUCAAUAUUAUGGCAUUAUCUGGAACUCUUUCAUAAAAGGGCAUCAUGUUGGUUCAACUUCAUGACCCCAAAUAUUGACAUGUUUAUAUGUUACCUGCGAUGGAUCAGGAAGAACAUGUUGCAAAAAACUUUGCACAUUAGUUUACUUAUGCAAUUACAUGAUUGAAGAUAUGCUUUUUCUUGAUAUAGCAAGUGCCUUUAUUUAGUGACUCACUUACAAGUUUGCUUGGUUGAACAAUAGAGGAUGUGUUCUAACUAACAAUAAUCAUACCGUUGUAAGUUUACUAAGUGAGGCUCAAUUGAUCAAACUGUUGAUGGCUUUGAGUAUCCAGUGAAGUAUAGAUACUUUUUUUUUUGAAGUCUUGCCUUCUUGGUGAUAUAUAACUCCGGCCCGAUGCCGGGCAAUCCUGAUGCAGAUUAUGUGAUUAUGUUAUGUAUGUGCCGGGGUAAGCCCGAUGCCGGGGUGAGCCCGAUGCCCGAUGUGGUCGGAUGUCGGGGUGAGCCCGAUGUCGGAUAGGAGUCCAAUGACGGGAUUCGUCCCGAUGCAGUGGGAGUAGUCCCAGAGCUAUGUUGUUUGUUAUAUGUGCUUUCUAUGGUAUGUGCUAGUUUGGGGGAGCUCACUAAGUUUCGUGCUUACAGUUUCAGUUUUGGUUUCAGGUACUUCAACUAGUAAAGGGAAGGGCUCGAGCUGAUGGCAUGACACACACCACAGUUGAUUAGCCUGGGAGUUUACUCUGAUAUUUGUUAUGAGCCUGUUGUAUGUUUAUCAGAUUUUAUGAGUUUUCGAGAUACAUGUUUUAUGAUUUUACAAUAUGGCAAUGAGAUCUAUGUUUGAUAAAUGAUUUUGAAAACGAAAUUUUUGGCUUGUAUUUUUGGGGUGUUUCAUAAAAAGACUAUAUUGCCCUUCUUCGUUUAUUAAAAAUUAAAAAAUACUAUAUAUUAAUAGAUAACAUAGGUCUCACCCCAAAACACCCAUGCCCACCAUUCUCACAAUUUCACCCGUGUCCACCAUUCUCG
rnacentral:lncRNA from 1 species